rnacentral:tRNA from 1 species
GCGCUUAUAGUUCAAUGGAUAGAACUCUGGUUUCCGGAACCAGAAAUGGAGGUUCGAAUCCCCCUAGGCGCA